rnacentral:ncRNA from 1 species
AUUUUGAUUCCGGGCUAAUUAAUUUUAUUUCCGUUACCUGUGGCUUAAAGAAGAAAAAAAAAACGGGGUCGGGUCAUCUAUAAAUAUGAAAUUUUCUGCCUGAGAAGGAAAGCAAUAUUCUGAAAGUUGUUGGGUUAACUUACUGAAGAUCGCUUCCAUUUCCUUAAAAAUACCCUUCGCACUAAAAGUAAUACGUACUGGUGCAAAGCGCGCGGUGCAUGUCGAGCGCCUUCGCGGGCGCCGACGCAGCCGAUGCGCGACCCUUAGUCGAGAACAGUGUCGGUCGGGGAGUUUGACUGGGGCGGUACGUCUGUCAAACGGUAACGCAGGUGUCCCAAGGCGAGCUCAGCGUGAACGGAAACCACACGUCGAGCAAAAGGGCAAAAGCUCGCUCGAUCUCGAUUUUCAGUACGAAUACGGAUCGCGAAAGCGUGGCCCAUCGAUCCUUUCCGAAUAACA